CGCAUUUGCUUCACAGUUCUGAAGACCGGGUUUGAAAUCCCAGCCCUGUCCGUGUGGAGUUUCUGUGUUCUCCCCGGGCUUGCGUGGGUAUUCUUCGGGCACUCCGGUUUCCUCCCACGUUCCAAAAACAUGUAAAGUGGGAUGGGCUCCAGUACUCCCACAACCAAUGCUCUGCCAUGCAGUUCUAUGUAUGGUGCCUGGAGGGCGCGUCUGCGUCCUCUCUCUCCCACUCUACCCUUUCUGUACGCAGCAGAUGUCAUCAAUUACCUCAUUACAUCCGAUGUAUAUCAGCCUGCCAGAUUUCCGAGAUACUCACCAAAUUAUUACAAACUCUGCUUGAGCUCCCCUAAGAUCCUGACCUACGUCAUUCCUGCAACCAAGCCAGCCACCUGUUCAGUCCACUGCCCGCCACCUAUCCAUGUGGCUGCCUGCCAACACAUCCAGGACU